rnacentral:lncRNA from 10 species
CAGCGAGACUCCGUGGGCGUAGGACCCUCCGAGCCAGGUGUGGGAUAUAAUCUCGUGGUGCACCAUUUUUUAAGCCCGUCGGAAAAGCCCAGUAUUAGGGUGGGAGUGACCCGAUUUUCCAGGUGCCAUCCGUCACCCCUUUCUUUGACUAGGAAAGGGAACUCCCUGACCCCUUGCGCUUCCCGAGUGAGGCAAUGCCUCGCCCUGCUUUGGCUCGCGCAUGGUGCGCGCACCCAGUGGCCUGCGCCCACUGUCUGGCACUCUCUAGUGAGAUGAACCUGGUACCUCAGAUGGAAAUGCAGAAAUCACCCGUCUUCUGCGUCGCUCACGCUGGGAGCUGUAGACCGGAGCUGUUCCUAUUCGGCCAUCUUGGCUCCUCAGGGAAUUUUUCAUAAAGGUUGGCAGGUGGUGGAGAGAAUACCAAGACCUAGGCUCUCCUGAUCUCCCUGCAUCCCUGUCAUUUUUGGCAAUGUCGCUAAUCGGCCCAGCAGCCCGAAUCCACACGCCCCGGCGUCCGGGCUCUGCAAGGUGCAGCUGGUCUCAGGCCCUGUCUCAGAAUACAGAAGUAAUCAGAAUUUAUUCACGUGGGCCGACUGAGAGUUUUGACGUCAAAGGGCAAUCCUGUCUGAUUGAUACCACUCAAAUGGCAAUAUUGUUUGAAGAAAUGUAGUUAGAGAGAUGGCAAUUUAAAGGCUAUAAGAAGUUACAGGAAAAGAUUUUGUGAAUAGAGACUAUAAAGCACUCCUGUAACCUUGGCCCCAAAGAGGGCUCUCCAGACAGAAAGUUGCCUGCAUGUCCCGGUGCGUGUUUUUGAGUGUGAUACUGUUCUUCACUGCUCUGUCCCAAGAAAUCCAGCAUUGCCUAUGGCAUACCUUCUGAGGAAAGCCUUUGGGGCAAAGAAAUUACAAAAAUGAAGGUGGGGGAGUAUUACAAUUUGUAACAGUCACUUAAGAAUUCUCAACAUGUUUUUUUCAUUGGCUAUAAACAAAACAAGGUAAUACAAGACACCUGUGACCAUGCAAAAAAUAAGAGGCACAGAUGCCCCACCGUUAAAGCAAGCAGGUCACGCAGCAGGGGCAUUCCUGUGGGUGAGCGGCCUGGGAGACCAACAGAGAAGAAUCACCCAGGAGGUAAAACAGCAUUCAGUGAGCAAGAGGCACAGAAGUCUAGGGUGAAAUUGCCAGUGAAACAGCCUUCUCAGAAUGCUGGGAUUUUAGAAAGCACAGCUGGGAAGUUGUGGGCUGGAGAAUCCAUCAGCCUCCCUCGUUGUCUAUCUCUUUCCUUCCUAACUUUCUUGUAUCAGCCAUCAGUGCCACACUGGGUGCUGGGCUUGAGGGGAUAAAAUGGGGAACAUACGCACCCGGUUUCUGUCCUUAGGGGGCUUAGAGUAGAAUGGGGAAGAGAUAAACCCAAGUAAAUAGCAUACAAAUAAAAUAAUUGCCAACUGUGAUAAAGGACUUUGAAGAAAGCAAUUAAAGUUCUGAGUUAGAAGGUAACAUGAGAGUAAAUUGCGUUUCCUAGGGUGGUCAGGAAAUGUUUUUUUGGACAGACUUAACAUAUAAACAGAUCUGUAAGGAGCAGGGAGGAUUUUAAAGUUUGCAGUGGGUAGAGAGGUUGGGAAAGUACUGAAAGAAAGUGGUGUGGUUGGAGAACAAUAUACAAAUGUGACAAUGAAACAAAAUGGAACAAAAGAAAAGGGAAGGCUUGUCAUCAGACGUGGUGACAAGUUCAUUUUGAUCUCUCACCCUCUAUCUUCACGGUCUCUUCAGGCCUCCUAGACUUCCAUUGGAAAGCCCUGGCCUCUUGGAAUUACAGGUGUUGGAAAUCCACACCAAACUAACUUGAGCAGGGAAGGGGAAUUACCAUACUGUGAGCUGUCAGGGUGCAGCUGACCAAUAGAUGGCUGGGGCCCGGGGAUAUGGGCAUCGAGAUUCACUUUUUUUUCUCCUGUGGUUCUCCUUCAUUGUCCAGCAGACAGGCCUUGGCCUGUACUACAGUGGGACAGUGUUUCCAGUAGCAACUGUUUAUCUUCCCAAAUUUGCCACCAGGCAGUGGGGGGCUGUCUUCCCUUACUUCCAGUUUGGCUCAUGCUUGGUGAGAGACUCUGUUUUCCUUGGCUUGGGUCACAUUCCCACCCAAGGAGACAGGGUGCUGCCGGUGGCAGCGUGGGGGAAAGGAGCAACUCCCCUGCAGAUGCCUGCCUGCCUGUGAGGGCGUCGAUAUGAGUGAGAAAGGGUAAAGAGCUGUGAGUAUGUGUAUUGUGAGAUUGUGUGUGUGUGUUUAUGUAGAUGUGUGCAUGUGUAUGUGAGUGUGUAUGAAUGUAUGUGUGUAUGUGUGACUGGGAGAACAUGUAUGUGUGUACAUUUGUGAGUAUGUAUAUAUGUUGAGUGUUAUGUGUAAAAUUGUGUCUCCCUAAAAUUCUUAUGUUGAAAUCCUAGCCCCUAAUACCUUAGAAUUCAACGUUAUUUGGAGAGAGGUCUUCGUAUAGAUAAUCAAGUUCAAAGGAGACAUUAGGGUGGGCUGUAAUCCCAUUAGCUGUUGUCUUUGUAAAAGGGGAAAUUUGGACACAGAGCCACUCAGAGAGGGAAGAGGUCGUGAAGAGACACUGGCAGAAGAUAGCCAUGUACAAGCCAAGUAGAGAGGACUGGAACAGAUCCUUCCCUCACAGCCUCCGAGGAACCAACCUGGCCGACACCUUGAUUUCAGACUUCUGGCCUCCAGAACUGUGUGAGACAGCACAUUUCUGUUGUGGAAGCCACCCAGUCUGUGGUACUUUGUUACAGCAGCUCCAGCAAAUGCACACCAUGAGCGUGUGUGUGACUGUGGGCAUCUGAGUGUCAAUGUCAAUGUAUGUGUAGACUGGGAGUUGCUCUGGUCAUAAAUCUAAAGAUGGCUAUCAUGCUGCUCCUUUUCUUUGCUUAUCCAAUACCACUCACAUUUCGAGGCCUGCCACAAAUCCCCCUCCUUCUUGACAUCUUUCAUGGGUUCUCAGUGCUCCAGGUGCAAUUCUGGCUGCCACCAAUUAAUCGCGUGAUUCAUGGUGACCUUGAGGGAAACAACCUUUCUCAUUAAUCUUUGGGUCCCUGUAUUUGUCUUAUGGCCCAGCAUGUAGUAAGUACUCAAAUAAUAUUUGUUUGCUUCACUUAACCUUCUAUUUAAUUUUUUUUACUGUGAAAUAAAACAAAUGUAGAAAAUUGUACAAAACAAGAGUUUACAGCCCAGUGUUUUAUCACAAAGUGAACAUCUGUGUAACUACUACACAGAGCAAAAAAU